GCAACAUGUGCUUUUGCCGAGUCGUCGCUGGUAGAAUACUUGUCCUCAGUUCAGCAACGAAGCAUAGCAUAUCGUAUAGGAUGACUACUCUGGUGGUUUAGAGCUUUCACACAGACUGGGCGCAUAGUAACUUUGAUGGACAAGGGAUAUGCCAAACAAACACUGGAAGUUCCGUACCCUUGCUGUGUCAAUUAUUAGUGCGAGCUGCAUCCACACGGAGGUUGGACUGCUUUACGCAGGGGUUCGGGAAUUUAUGUCAACAGCAUUGCCAUGACGGAGCAGGUACAAACAUUUGAAGUUUACACCUACUGCAUUCAUAGCGCAUUGUUGUAGUUUACUAACUAUGGUUGUAUCUGUUUUAGGAACGACUGUGUUGGUAUUGAUAAUAGCCACUGUUUUGUCUUGGUUUAUUUUCGUUCUGUUUGUUUCUGUUUCAAAAUCAGUGAGUGCCACACUGAUUUUGUCCAUACUGGUGUUUGAAGGCCUAUGUUUGGCCCGUUGCAAGGGAUUGCGCUGUAGCUGUAGAUGUAAAAUCAUAGAUAAGUACCAUACUACCAUAAGUAUUUCCAUACGGGAGACUGUUACUCUGGAGGCAUAGGGGUCUAUUCUUCCGGCGGUAUAAGUUCAUAGAGUUACUGACGGCUAUUUCCUGACUUAGCACAUACACACGAUACAUGCAUACGGGAGACUGUUGUGUCUAUGCUUCCGGCAGUAUUAGUUCAUAGAGUUACUGAUGGCUGCUUAGUGCAUUCACACGGUAUUUCCAUACGGGAGAC